GGUCCACAGUUCAUUGGUAGAGCAUCUGCUUUCCAUGCAGAAGGUCCUGGGUUCAAGGCCCACUGGCAUAUCCA